rnacentral:lncRNA from 1 species
UGGAUCAAACCUCCCAAAACGUCAACACAAGCUCCAAGCUUCAAUGCGUUGAUCGGACACGUUGGUUGAGCACUUCCUCCUCCAGAAGGUGGACCACCAUGAUACGGUGGAUAACCAGAGGAUGGUGGUGGAGUUGUGAUCGGAGGUGGGUUAAUGAUCGGAGGGAGAAGUCCUGGAGGUGUUGUGAUUGGAGGGAGAAUUCCUGGAGGAGUUGUGACCGGAGGUGGGUUAAUGAUCGGAGGGAGAAUUCCUGGAGGAGUUGUGACCGGAGGAGGUCUUACCAUUGGUGGUGGAUAGACGACUGGAGGAGGUCUUGAGAUAGGCGGUGGCCUCACCACUGGUGGUGGAUAAACCACCGGAGGAGGUCUAACAAACGGCGGUGAUGUCCCUCCACCAUGAUGUGGUGGCCCACCACCACCACCACCAUGAUGCGGCGGCCCACCACCUUUUCCACCGUGAUGUGGCGGUUUACUACCACCUUUUCCUCCGUGAU